UUUUUUCAAUCAUUGUAUUGUAGAGAGAGGCUGAAAUUGGCAAAGUGUUACUACAGCCAAAGUGUAAAAUAUUUCCAAAUCCUAAAUUUUUGCCUAAAUUUUCCAGUUCUGAUUUCAAUUUGGUACAGUACCAAGUAUAGAUAAUUGUUUUUCUUUCCAUUUACUGUAUUUCCCACUAAACUUACAAAAUGUACAUAAAAGAAGAGCAGAGAGAACAAAAUGCAUAGUAGUAAUUGAGUAUCAUACAGAUUUUGUAAAAAGAAAUAAAUGUGUAUUGUCCAUAUUUAAAGCGAUCAUCAAUUUGAUAAAUAGGCAAUGAUCUAUGUAAUCUGUACUUGGAGAAUUUUAAACCUG